CUUUUUUUUUUUUUUUUUUUUUUUUUUUUUUGAGACAGUCUUGCUCUGUCACCCAGGCAAGAGUGCAGUCUCUCGGCUCGCUGCAAUCUCUACCUCUCAGGUUCAAGCGAUUCUCCUGAGUAGCUGGGAUUACAGGCGUGUGCCACCACACCGGCUCAUUUUUGUAUUUUUAGUAGAGAUGGAGUUUCACCAUGUUGGCCAGGCUGGUCUUGAACUCCUGACCUCAAGUGAUCCGCCUGCUUCAGCCUCCCAAAGUGCUGGGAUUACAGGCCUGAGCCACCAUGCCCAGCCAGGAAAAAAAAAAAAUCUGUUAACUCUUAGUACGAAAAUAACUAGCCAGAUCUCUGAUUAGAUUAGUCAAACAUCCAAUCCAGCUAUAAAGGAAAAGAAAUCUUUAAAGUACCCCUAAAACUUCCUCCUUGCAUUAGUGUAAUUUCUUUCUUGCUAUAUAUAUUAUCUAAAAAUAUUUGUUUUGCAAAGUGUAUGCCAGAGUAAAUGAUGUGACUUGCUGUUUGGAUUUAUUAAGCAAUAAAUUUACUUUAAGCCACAGUAAGGAGUUAAUAAACUCCAUUUGCAAAAUC
rnacentral:lncRNA from 1 species